GGUGAAAUUCCAAUCGAACCCGGAGAUAGCUGGUUCUCCCCGAAAUAGCUUUAGGGCUAGCGUCGUCAGGAAGUCGCAUGAAGGUAGAGCACUGAAUAUGUGAUGGCCUCAUCUCGAGGUACUGAGCAUAAUCAAACUCCGAAUGUCAUGAAGACAUGGACGGCAGUCAGACCAUGGGUGAUAAGGUCCAUGGUCAAGAGGGAAACAGCCCAGACCAUCAGCUAAGGUCCCCAAAUACAUGCUAAGUGGAAAAGGAUGUGGAGAUGUACAGACAACCAGGAGGUUGGCUCAGAAGCAGCCAUCCUUGAAAGAGUGCGUAACAGCUCACUGGUCGAAUGACUCUGCGCCGAAAAUUUACCGGGGCUAAGCAUGAUACCGAAGCUAUGGAUUUACGAUGUAAAUGGUAGGGGAGCGUUCCAGACAGCGAAGAAGCGAUACCGUAAGGAGUCGUGGAGCGUGUGGAAGAGAGAAUGCCGGUGUGAGUAGCGGCACGUGGGUGAGAAUCCCACGCACCGAAAACCCAAGGUUUCCAGAGGAAGGUUCGUCCGCUCUGGGUAAGUCGGGACCUAAGGCGAGGCCGAGAGGCGUAGUCGAUGGACAACAGGUAGAGAUUCCUGUACUUACGGUAUGAAUGAUGGAGUGACGGAGAAGGCUAGCGGAUCCUGCUGAUGGAAAUGCAGGUGCAAGCGAGGUAGCCGACAGCCAGGCAAAUCCGGCUGUCGAAAGGCAAAGGCGUGAGGCGUAUGGAAAGCUGCGGCAAGUACAGAAGUCCGUGAAGCCAGCUUCCAAGAAAAGCUUCUAGUGAUAAUCAUACAGUAACCCGUACCGAAAAUGGACACACAUGGGUGAGGAGAGAAUCCUAAGGUGAGCGAGAGAACUAUAGCUAAGGAACUCUGCAAAAUGACUCCGUAACUUAGGGAUAAGGAGUGCUCAUAGAGAUAUGAGCCGCAGUGAAACGGCCCAAGCGACUGUUUACCAAAAACACAGCUCUAUGCUAAGUCGAAAGACGACGUAUAUGGGGUGACGCCUGCCCGGUGCUGGAAGGUUAAGAGGAUGUGUCAGCGCAAGCGAAGCAUUGAAUUGAAGCCCCAGUAAACGGCGGCCGUAACUAUAACGGUCCUAAGGUAGCGAAAUUCCUUGUCAGGUAAGUUCUGACCCGCACGAAAGGCGUAAUGAUUUGGGCACUGUCUCAACAGCCCGCCCGGCGAAAUUGUAGU
rnacentral:rRNA from 1 species